CUGUGUGUAAUGCCAGAACCAUGCAAACUGAAAAGCUGCAUUAGCACUACAGAUUGUAUGUACAGAUUUGGAAAACAGAGAUAUGGAAUGUUCUGGGGCAUGGUGAAGAAAAUGGACUGGAUGACCUGAGAGAGGACGGACAGACAGGCAUUUCACAGGUAGAAAGCUGAUGGAUCUCUACACAUUUGCAGAGCAGUUAGCCUAAAUCCUGGAGAUCCUCCCAUUCAUAUGGAUGAAAUUCUACUGCUGGCAUUACAGUUAAUGCCACUGCCUGUCCUUCAGAAAACGUGGGGCAUCGCCCUCCUUUCAACUGCUCAUUCUUGCUGUGCCGUGCUAUUUUCUUUCCACCCUGAGAAACUAAAGCACAAAGCCUGACUGCAUGACUGCUUGCUGCAGGGAAGGACAACUACUCAUGGCAUGGGAAUGGGACCAGGAGUGGCAAAAUCUAGAAGGGAAUUGAAGCAGUGAUAAAGACACGGGCCCAGGCUCCUGGUCCUUUCCCAUGCCAUGUGUACACCCUGGCACUGAACUACCAGGGCAGGAGCAGUCUGCAGCACGUCUUGCCCUGCCAGGGCCCCUCUCUCACAUACCUGCCAGGCUCUAGUGGCUUUGGCCACCUCCCCAGCACUGGGAGAGCUGAUGCUACUGUACUUUAUGGGGUAAAGAAACUAACAGACAGAGAUCCAAUGAGACAGAUAUUCUCAGAUGAAGUCCUCAUCUAGUCCUCUAUUUUACUGUGGUUUAUCAGUUUUGUAUUGAAUUCUUGUUCUGUAAGGAAGAGUCUUUCCUGGAAAUUAAGUAAAUGAACAAAGGCCAAGCUGGACUCCCUUUGGCUACUGCUAUUGCUAAUGUAAUGCAAGAAGUCUCACAGCACUCUCACUUCCUCACAGCAGUACCCUUGGACUAUGUUUCAUACCAACCCAGGUCUGAGGCUCAUGUAACCAGG